ensembl:lncRNA
GGGUGUUGGCUUGGGAAGGGGCUGGAGUCCUGAGGGCCCUCAACAAAAGCUCAAAUGUAAGAGCAAGUCAGUGCCUGAACAUGUUGUCCCUGACGUGAUGUCAUGAAUUUAACGAGCAUGAUGCUGUGCUCCCAGACGAGGAGGGGACCCGUGACCAGGAGUCAGGGAGAGACGGCGGGGGAACUGGCAGGAACCCCUGCAGUGAAGGGAACCCCCCAGAGAACCCCCUUAAACUACAGAUAAUAUCUGAUGGUGAGGAUCUGGGGCCACGUGAAACUAAUCCAGUCAUGACUGAGACAGAUUCAGAGAUGGUCUUUCAGCCCUUCAGUUCAGUGCAGCCUCACCCUGCUUUGUUGUCCCCUGUCCUGACCCACUUUGAAAAGGGGCGGACUGCUCUGGAACCUGAGAGACUCUUCCAACCUGACCUCAGUCCACCACGGAGCAACAGGAGACUUAAAUAAAGUAACACUUUGAGCUACUGGGCGGACUAACUCCUUGACUGUGAAGAAGGUGAGGCUGGCGUGUCUGUGGAGGACAGACUGAAUUCACUUCCCCCAUCUGGAUUGGAACCAUCACCAAGAAUAGAGUUCCUGGAUGACUCUCCAUUCCCAAUGGCAAAUACAUGUUGUGAAGGACCGGCGUGGUCGCCCCACGUAUCUGGGAUACGGCCAACCAGAUUCAGAGAGUGUGGGCAAAAACGAGGGCAAUUUUUCAGGACAAGAAAAGUGAAUCUAUAUUUUCUCUCAAGUACUGGCUUCCCAUCAAGCCAGCACCACCUUCAGCCCCCAAACACCAAAUGAGGCAGCCCUUAAAUAGGGGAAUGAUUGGUCCAAUCAAGGCCGUAUGGGCCCACCACUAUUUGGGGGAACAUUCUUUAGCUAGAGCUACCAAUCCUACAUAUCUGAACAGAAAGUACAUUGUGUGAAUACAAAAUAAACAUGAC